GGAUGUGAGGGUGAUCUGGCUGCGACAUCUGUCACCCCAUUGAUUGCCAGGGUCGAUUUGGCUGACCUGGCUGGCUAGGCAGAUAUCCCCUUACUCCCUCACCGUUCACUGUCCCUCCUGAAGCUGCAUGCUUGGUCGAAGAGGACAACCUUCACCAAAUAGAGGAGGACUGGUCUUCAGUCAAGAUUACACGAGUAGCUGUGCUCCCUUGCUAGAACCUCCAAACAAGCUCUCAUAUAGUAGCAAACUCUACACUAUGCUUUUUCCCUUAGAUAUACAUACUUAUGGUAACAUUUAACUUAUUA
rnacentral:snRNA from 1 species